AUGGAGCACCUCAUAUCAAUACUUUUACUUCUGCUUCUACUUACUGCUAUUAUUAUUUUUAUCAGUGCACAAAGUGAUGGCAUAUCUGAUCAUGUAGGAGUUGAAAGCUAGAGGAAUUAACAAUGAGCACACUCUUGCUUAUCAGAGUCGAGUGGGCCCGGUACAGUGGUUGAAACCAUAUACAGAUGAAACUCUCGUUGAGCUUGGUCAGAAAAGUGUGAGGAGUCUUUUAGCUGUUCUAGUGAGCUUUGUGAGUGAGCACAUAGUGACCCUUGAAGAAAUUGACAUAGAGUACAGGAAGUUGGCUCUUGAAUCUGGCAUCAAAUAUUGGGCGUGUGUUCCUGCUCUUGGUCUCAGCCCUUCCUUCAUUACAGACCUAGCAGAUGCAGUGAUAGAAGAUCUUCCAUCUGCAAAAGCAAUGUAUGCAUCUACCAGCACUUCUGAAGAAGAGCAUGACCCACUUAGGUACUUGGUCAAGAUGUUCUUUGGUUCAAUAUUGGCAUUCAUCUUGUUUCGGUCACCUAGAAU